GGGUUGUGAGGUUAAGCGACUAAGCGUACACGGUGGAUGCCCUGGCAGUCAGAGGCGAUGAAGGACGUGCUAAUCUGCGAUAAGCGUCGGUGAGGUGAUAUGAACCGUUAUAACCGGCGAUUUCCGAAUGGGGAAACCCAGUGUGUUUCGACACACUAUCAUUAACUGAAUCCAUAGGUUAAUGAGGCGAACCGGGGGAACUGAAACAUCUAAGUACCCCGAGGAAAAGAAAUCAACCGAGAUUCCCCCAGUAGCGGCGAGCGAACGGGGAGGAGCCCAGAGCCUGAAUCAGUGUGUGUGUUAGUGGAAGCGUCUGGAAAGGCGCGCGAUACAGGGUGACAGCCCCGUACACAAAAAUGCACAUAUUGUGAGCUCGAUGAGUAGGGCGGGACACGUGGUAUCCUGUCUGAAUAUGGGGGGACCAUCCUCCAAGGCUAAAUACUCCUGACUGACCGAUAGUGAACCAGUACCGUGAGGGAAAGGCGAAAAGAACCCCGGCGAGGGGAGUGAAAAAGAACCUGAAACCGUGUACGUACAAGCAGUGGGAGCCUCUUAAUGGGGUGACUGCGUACCUUUUGUAUAAUGGGUCAGCGACUUAUAUUCUGUAGCAAGGUUAACCGAAUAGGGGAGCCGAAGGGAAACCGAGUCUUAACUGGGCGUUAAGUUGCAGGGUAUAGACCCGAAACCCGGUGAUCUAGCCAUGGGCAGGUUGAAGGUUGGGUAACACUAACUGGAGGACCGAACCGACUAAUGUUGAAAAAUUAGCGGAUGACUUGUGGCUGGGGGUGAAAGGCCAAUCAAACCGGGAGAUAGCUGGUUCUCCCCGAAAGCUAUUUAGGUAGCGCCUCGUGAAUUCAUCUCCGGGGGUAGAGCACUGUUUCGGCAAGGGGGUCAUCCCGACUUACCAACCCGAUGCAAACUGCGAAUACCGGAGAAUGUUAUCACGGGAGACACACGGCGGGUGCUAACGUCCGUCGUGAAGAGGGAAACAACCCAGACCGCCAGCUAAGGUCCCAAAGUCAUGGUUAAGUGGGAAACGAUGUGGGAAGGCCCAGACAGCCAGGAUGUUGGCUUAGAAGCAGCCAUCAUUUAAAGAAAGCGUAAUAGCUCACUGGUCGAGUCGGCCUGCGCGGAAGAUGUAACGGGGCUAAACCAUGCACCGAAGCUGCGGCAGCGACACUAUGUGUUGUUGGGUAGGGGAGCGUUCUGUAAGCCUGUGAAGGUGUACUGUGAGGUAUGCUGGAGGUAUCAGAAGUGCGAAUGCUGACAUAAGUAACGAUAAAGCGGGUGAAAAGCCCGCUCGCCGGAAGACCAAGGGUUCCUGUCCAACGUUAAUCGGGGCAGGGUGAGUCGACCCCUAAGGCGAGGCCGAAAGGCGUAGUCGAUGGGAAACAGGUUAAUAUUCCUGUACUUGGUGUUACUGCGAAGGGGGGACGGAGAAGGCUAUGUUGGCCGGGCGACGGUUGUCCCGGUUUAAGCGUGUAGGCUGGUUUUCCAGGCAAAUCCGGAAAAUCAAGGCUGAGGCGUGAUGACGAGGCACUACGGUGCUGAAGCGACAAAUGCCCUGCUUCCAGGAAAAGCCUCUAAGCAUCAGGUAACAUCAAAUCGUACCCCAAACCGACACAGGUGGUCAGGUAGAGAAUACCAAGGCGCUUGAGAGAACUCGGGUGAAGGAACUAGGCAAAAUGGUGCCGUAACUUCGGGAGAAGGCACGCUGAUAUGUAGGUGAAGCGACUUGCUCGUGGAGCUGAAAUCAGUCGAAGAUACCAGCUGGCUGCAACUGUUUAUUAAAAACACAGCACUGUGCAAACACGAAAGUGGACGUAUACGGUGUGACGCCUGCCCGGUGCCGGAAGGUUAAUUGAUGGGGUUAGCGGUAACGCGAAGCUCUUGAUCGAAGCCCCGGUAAACGGCGGCCGUAACUAUAACGGUCCUAAGGUAGCGAAAUUCCUUGUCGGGUAAGUUCCGACCUGCACGAAUGGCGUAAUGAUGGCCAGGCUGUCUCCACCCGAGACUCAGUGAAAUUGAACUCGCUGUGAAGAUGCAGUGUACCCGCGGCAAGACGGAAAGACCCCGUGAACCUUUACUAUAGCUUGACACUGAACAUUGAGCCUUGAUGUGUAGGAUAGGUGGGAGGCUUUGAAGUGUGGACGCCAGUCUGCAUGGAGCCGACCUUGAAAUACCACCCUUUAAUGUUUGAUGUUCUAACGUGGGCCCCUUACCGGGGUUGCGGACAGUGUCUGGUGGGUAGUUUGACUGGGGCGGUCUCCUCCUAAAGAGUAACGGAGGAGCACGAAGGUUGGCUAAUCCUGGUCGGACAUCAGGAGGUUAGUGCAAUGGCAUAAGCCAGCUUGACUGCGAGCGUGACGGCGCGAGCAGGUGCGAAAGCAGGUCAUAGUGAUCCGGUGGUUCUGAAUGGAAGGGCCAUCGCUCAACGGAUAAAAGGUACUCCGGGGAUAACAGGCUGAUACCGCCCAAGAGUUCAUAUCGACGGCGGUGUUUGGCACCUCGAUGUCGGCUCAUCACAUCCUGGGGCUGAAGUAGGUCCCAAGGGUAUGGCUGUUCGCCAUUUAAAGUGGUACGCGAGCUGGGUUUA
rnacentral:rRNA from 1 species